rnacentral:ribozyme from 1 species
CGACCAGCGGAUCAUGGUUUUGGACGGAUCCCCCGUCCCCCUCUCUCUGGUUGAGAACAAGGUCGUGUCCUUCCAAGCCGUGCCCGUGGGUGUGAUGGAGUCGUCCG